rnacentral:rRNA from 1 species
AAAGCCCGGGGCUCAACCUCGGAACCGCAUUUGAAACUGGCAGGCUAGAGUCUUGUAGAGGGGGGUAGAAUUUCAGGUGUAGCGGUGAAAUGCGUAGAGAUCUGAAGGAAUACCAGUGGCGAAGGCGGCCCCCUGGACAAAGACUGACGCCCAGAUGCGAAAGCGUGGGUAGCAAACAGGAUUAGAUACCCUGGUAGUCCACGCCGUAAACGCUGUCUACUUGGAGGUUGAGGUUUUAGACUUUGGCUUUCGGCGCUAACGCAUUAAGUAGACCGCCUGGGGAGUACGGCCUCGAGGUUAAAACUCAAAUGAAUUGACGGGGGCCCGCACAAGCGGUGGAGCAUGUGGUUUAAUUCGAUGCAACGCGAAGAACCUUACCUACUCUUGACAUCCAGCGAGGCCUUUAGAGAUAGAGGCGUGCCUUCGGGAGCGCUGAGACAGGUGCUGCAUGGCUGUCGUCAGCUCGUGUUGUGAAAUGUUGGGUUAAGUCCCGCAACGAGCGUAACCCUUAUCCUUGUUUGCCAGCACAUAAUGGUGGGAACUCCAGGGAGACUGCCGGUGAUAAACCGGA